rnacentral:sRNA from 1 species
UAACUAACCAUUGUCCAUAAGAAUGACCUUCUCACUAUCAAGAACUGAUGUGAUCCGAUGUGCUAUGGUAAUCACCGUGCAUUCGGAGAAUUGUUGCUUCAGGGUUUUCUGAAUCAAAUUGUCAGUUAUUGGAUCCACUGAAGAAGUUGCUUCAUCCAAAACCAAGAUCUUUCGCUUCUUUAGAACCACCCUUCCCAAACAAACAAGCUGACGCUGACCUGCACUCCAGUUGCUGCCAUUUUCUGUAACUGCAUUUCAUAUUAAAGUAUAAGUUAUGAGUUUGACAUCGUGGAGCAAUGCAUUAUAGCUUUCUGAUAUAGAUAUGAAACCUGUAGAGUCAAGCUUGAGAUCACUCUUUCUAACUUCAUCACCAAGAUGACAAGAGUCCAAUGCCUG